rnacentral:rRNA from 4 species
CGUAUCACCCAAGACAACUUUACGGAGUUGACGAUUGACGGAGCGAAGCGACGUCAAAGCGUUCAUUAAAGUCGAGUUGGCUUAGGGAUACGUUCGUUGGGUAGGGGAGCGUUCUGUAAGCCUGUGAAGGUGUGUCGUGAGGCAUGCUGGAGGUAUCAGAAGUGCGAAUGCUGACAUAAGUAACGAUAAAGCGGGUGAAAAGCCCGCUCGCCGGAAGACCAAGGGUUCCUGUCCAACGUUAAUCGGGGCAGGGUGAGUCGACCCCUAAGGCGAGGCCGAAAGGCGUAGUCGAUGGGAAACGGGUUAAUAUUCCCGUACUUGGUGUUACUGCGAAGGGGGGACGGAGAAGGCUAUGUUGGCCGGG